rnacentral:rRNA from 1 species
CACGUAGGGCGCAAGCGUUGUCCGGAAUUAUUGGGCGUAAAGAGCUCGUAGGCGGUCUGUUACGUCUGCUGUGAAAACCCGGGGCUUAACCCUGGGCUUGCAGUGGAUACGGGCAGACUAGAGGCAGGUAGGGGAGAAUGGAAUUCCCGGUGUAGCGGUGAAAUGCGCAGAUAUCGGGAGGAACACCGGUGGCGAAGGCGGUUCUCUGGGCCUGACCUGACGCUGAGGAGCGAGAGCGUGGGGAGCGAACAGG